UACGGAGGAUGCGAGCGUUAUCCGGAUUUAUUGGGUUUAAAGGGUGCGUAGGCGGAGUGCCAAGUCAGCGGUAAAAAUUCGGGGCUCAACCCCGUCGUGCCGUUGAAACUGGCGCCCUUGAGUGGGCGAGAAGUAUGCGGAAUGCGUGGUGUAGCGGUGAAAUGCAUAGAUAUCACGCAGAACCCCGAUUGCGAAGGCAGCAUACCGGCGCCCGACUGACGCUGAAGCACGAAAGCGUGGGUAUCAAACAGG
rnacentral:rRNA from 1 species